CUUCAGCCUCGAUCAGGUUCAGGGUGCGAUUUUGUUGGGGUCCUUGGCGUAGCGGACACAUGCGGUGCCAUUGUUGCCGGUGAUACCACGUGGCAGGAUUUUGUGAGUUGGCUGCUAGGACCCCAACACCUACGAUAAAGAACUGAGCACAAAUUUUUUAACCCCGGCUGACAUCGUGAUGGAGAUGGUGUCGUGGAAUU
rnacentral:misc_RNA from 1 species